rnacentral:rRNA from 1 species
UACAGGGGGUGUAAACGUUGCUCGGAAUCAUUGGGCGUAAAGCGCACGUAGGCGGUUCGUUAUGUCGGAUGUGAAAGCCCUUGGCUUAACCGAGGAAGUGCAUCCGAAACUGGCGAGCUAGAGUACGAAAGAGGAUCGCGGAAUUCCCGGUGUAGAGGUGAAAUUCGUAGAUAUCGGGAGGAACACCGGUGGCGAAGGCGGCGAUCUGGGUCGAUACUGACGCUGAGGUGCGAAAGCGUGGGGAGCAAACAGG